rnacentral:misc_RNA from 1 species
AAAGCAGCCCAUGAAAUUGUAGAACCCAAAAGAAAGCAGAAGCAGACAAGAGACCCAACCCAAGAAACGAGAGAGAUAAGAGUGGAGAAAUAUUGAGGCAGCGACAAUUGAAUAAAACUCAAUAUCAUCUCCGCCUUUUUUGGCGUCUUUAGCCUUUCUAAACAACGCCACAACUGCCAACUUGGAGCACUGCCACACGCUCGCGCUUCGAAAUGAGCAGAAACCACUUCUGAGUUCUGACACCCACCACCAUAGCUACCGUCAUCAAUUUCUCAUCCUUUCAGGUUAACAAAUCAACUUCUUUUAUCUGCACUUUCAAUUUUUCACUUUUCAUCGCUGAGAAUUUUGAGUUUCGUGCUUCAGUCAACCGUGGUGAGUCCAUGGCCACUCCGUCUUCCCCUCCUCCUUCCAGUCAUCCCGAUGAGAAACCCCAGAAUCCAGGUGCGAUCUCCUUUUUUUCGUUGUUCUCUGUAUUUUUUUUAACGUAUAUGUUUAUCCUGUUUAUAGAUAUUUUGGUUUUCCUUUUGGGGCAAUUAACUUAAUGAUAGAUUGUUGUCACUUGUCAGUGUAAGAAAUGCCAAGUUUCAAUUUCAAUUUAUUUUCUUUAAGUAUACAAGGCAAUUCAAUUGAUGGUUUAUGGAAUUAUGCUAUUUUAUUAUAACACUGUUAUAUUUCAUCUCUAUAUGUGUACUAUUUGGAUUUAGAAUGAGAAAAAAAAGAAGAAGAAACUUGUCAAAUGCGAAACCUUAUUAACAAGUGAAAGGUUGGAAAUACUGUGAACAUCUGCUGUUAGCAUACAAAUACUUUAGCUCCUUUACAAAAACCAUUUUUAGAUUAUGAAAUGAUAAAAAAUGUGGUUUAUUAUUUUUGUCGGAAUUUGUAAAAAUUACUAAAGUUGUAUCUUGAUUUGGUUUUGAAAUUCAAGGAUUUGAAUUUUAGUUUUAUAUUGAUAGAUAGAAAUCAGAGGUGCGAAGGUGGAGGAAAGAAACAUGCUUUGACCAAAUCUUAUCACUCACCGAAUUUCAGUAUAUAUUUCAAUUUCAUUCCUAGACAAGUUUGCGUCUACAUUCAUGGAUCCAAUGCUUAUAAAUGAGUCUACCUUAGCAAAGAGCAAAGAAAAUCUAUAGCAUUGAUCUUAUUUAGAUACAAACCCCUUCAUUUCAUAGCCACACCUAUCCAAACUCAAAAGUAAUUUAAUGCAAUUGCCGUGUCAUUGUGCUUCUGAAUCUCACAUCAAAGAGAACUUGAGAGAUUUUGUCAAAUUUAUUGUUUUAGGAUCUAGGGAUUAUUUUUA